rnacentral:tRNA from 1 species
UCUCUCGUGGUCCAGCAAUUAAGACUCUGCGAUUCCAACGCAGGGGACACGGGUUCAAUCCCUGGUGGGAGAA